AUUGAACGCUGGCGGCAGGCCUAACACAUGCAAGUCGAGCGAGCGGCGGACGGGUGAGUAAUGUAUGGGGAUCUGCCCGAUAGAGGGGGAUAACUACUGGAAAGGUGGCUAAUACCGCAUACUAUUGGAGCGGCCGAUAUCGGAUUAGCUAGUGGGUGGGGUAAAGGCUCACCAAGGCGACGAUCCGUAGCUGGUUUGAGAGGACGACCAGCCACACUGGGACUGAGACCCGGCCCAGACUCCUACGGGAGGCAGCAGUGGGGAAUUUUGGACAAUGGGGGAAACCCUGAUCCAGCCAUGCCGCGUGUACGAUGAAGGCCUUCGGGUUGUAAAGCACUUUUGGCAGGAAAGCGGUACCUGCAGAAGAAGCACCGGCUAACUACGUGCCAGCCGCCGCGGUAAUAC
rnacentral:rRNA from 1 species